GCCCGAUUAACUCAGUUGGUCAGAGUGUCGUACUAAUACAAAACUCCGGUUUCUGUAUUUGGUCAUGCGAAAGUUGACAGUUCAAGCCUGUCAUUGGGCA